CUCUAGAGAUUAGUUUGAUCCUGGCUCAGAAUGAACGCUGGCGGCGUGCUUAACACAUGCAAGUUGAACGAGAAAUCUUUGAGCUUGCUCGAAGAGAGUAAAGUGGCGAACGGGUGAGUAACGCGUGGGUAAUUUACCUUCGAAUCGGGGAUAACGUGCCGAAAGGCGUGCUAAUACCGGAUGACAUCAUCUUGGCUUUGGUUGAGAUGAUUAAAGGUGGCCUCUUGAAAAAGCUACCGCUUGGAGAUAAGCCCGCGUACCAUUAGCUAGUUGGUAGGGUAAAGGCCUACCAAGGCGACGAUGGUUAGCUGGUCUGAGAGGAUGAUCAGCCACACUGGAACUGACACACGGUCCAGACUCCUACGGGAGGCAGCAGUGAGGAAUUUUGCGCAAUGGGGGAAACCCUGACGCAGCAACGCCGCGUGAGUGAUGAAGGCCUUCGGGUUGUAAAGCUCUGUCGGGUGGGAAGAAAGUGAAUGGAUCCAACAGGUUUGUUUAUUGACGGUACCAUCAGAGGAAGCACCGGCUAACUCCGUGCCAGCAGCCGCGGUAAUACGGAGGGUGCGAGCGUUAUUCGGAAUUAUUGGGCGUAAAGGGCGCGCAGGCGGCCGAAUAAGUCAGUUGUGAAAGUCCGGGGCUUAACCCCGGAAGUGCGAUUGAAACUAUUUGGCUUGAGUAUGGGAGAGGGAAGUGGAAUUCCUGGUGUAGAGGUGAAAUUCGUAGAUAUCAGGAGGAACACCGGUGGCGAAGG
rnacentral:rRNA from 1 species